GGUCGGCUCAGGUGGCGCGCCGGGGGGCCGGACGAACCCCGUCAACAAGCGCCCGGAAACCACAGUUGCCAACAGCAACUACGCUCUCGCCGCCUAGUUCGCGGCGCGGCCCCUCCUCUCUGCCCACCAGGGGAGUACGGCCGCCAUACGGUGGGCUGGUCGAGGUGCCGCCGCGGGUCGGCAGCUUGACGAGACUCAACCCGCUGGCCUUCGGCGAAGCCUGUCCCGGGCGUUUCCGCGGGUAAGACACCAAGUACAAGGACUACGCGCGUAGAGGCUCGGGUCGGCCCUUCUCGGGACGGGGGUUCGAUUCCCCCCGCCUCCACCA
rnacentral:tmRNA from 1 species